UCUCUCUAUUUUUACCCAUAUUUCAUGCUAGGGUUCAUGAUUGGAAAUUUACCCAUGCAUGAGUUACUUGUACUUUGAUGGUUUCUGGAGGAAUAUGAAAGUUGGAUGUGUGUUAAACAUCUUUUCCUAGGUGAUUUUCAUGAAAAACCCCUAAAAGGACCUUUUUGCAAAAGGUGUAGAAUGUGUGGUAGAAAUGAGAAAUAAUGGAAAAAUGUGGGCUGCCAUAAGAGGUAAGUUCGAAUACCAGAUAAGUCUGAAUAAC
rnacentral:lncRNA from 1 species